rnacentral:rRNA from 1 species
UACGUAGGGUGCAAGCGUUGUCCGGAAUUAUUGGGCGUAAAGAGCGUGUAGGCGGUCCGGUAAGUCGGCUGUGAAAGUCCAGGGCUCAACCCUGGGAUGCCGGUCGAUACGGGCAAACUGGAGUGUUGCAGGGGAGACUGGAAUUCCUGGUGUAGCGGUGAAAUGCGCAGAUAUCAGGAGGAACACCGGUGGCGAAGGCGGGUCUCUGGGCAACAACUGACGCUGAGGAACGAAAGCUAGGGUAGCGAAAGGG